GACGGAGGGUGCAAACGUUGUUCGGAUUCACUGGGCAUAAAGCGCACGUAGGCGGCUCGUUUAGUCAGUUGUGAAAUCCCCCGGCUCAACCGGGGAAUGGCAUCUGAUACUGGCGGGCUCGAGGUCGGUAGGGGUGAGUGGAACUCCAGGUGGAGCGGUGAAAUGCGUAGAUAUCUGGAGGAACACCGGUGGCGAAAGCGGCUCACUAGGCCGACUCUGACGCUAAGGUGCGAAAGCUAGGGUAGCAAACGGG
rnacentral:rRNA from 1 species